CUUUGGUCCAAGUAUAGAUCAUCUCUGUUAUGGGAUAGGCAUCUGUGGGAAGACAGCAAUGUCUGUCUCCCUGUCCCAGCCUGUUUUCCUGUUUCCCCUUUCCCUUAUGUGUGUGUUGUCUGUGUCUGUCUGCGUGUCACUCAAGAGGAUUUAGGUCUAGGGGCGUGGCCACUCUCACCUGCUCUGCUCCAGCCAGCUGCAGAUCGUUCCAGUAAUCAACCAACAGCCAGCUGCAGCUCACUCCAGUAAUCAACCAACAGUUAUCUACCCGGGCUGUUCACCUCUUCAGCGCCAGUUCGUUGCAACCAUUCCUGUGAUCCCGCCUCUGGACCUGCUGCUUUUCGGUUCUCAUCUGCCUCCUCGCUGCCUGCUCACCUCGCAACUCCGUUCUCAACCAGCCUUUCCACCCAGCUCUCGUCUUCGCUGCCUGGCCACACACCCGCCGUCUGAUCUCCAGCUUCGACUCCACCUGGAGCUGCUCUCCUGGCCAUUCCCUCCUGCACUAUCCACAUUGUGUCCAAUAAAACACUGCUAACUGCU